UAUACCUAGUCCACACAAUGGAAUGUUCUCAGUAUUGAUAGGGUCUUUCUCUGUCAGCGAAUGACGUGAUUGUGAUUAGGUUUCGUUUCAUAUACCAAGGGUCCCCACUGAGUACAGACGGAUACAAGCUGUAUAAGAAUCCCAGGUUACUACUGCAGACAGUGUGUCCGGACUAUGCAGCAACAUAACGGCAUGCAGCGAUGUGAGAGACAACCUCACAAGACACUACAACCAAAAACUUAAGCCAGUUGGUCAAACAACGAUACACAUGAGUCUGGAUAUGAGGGUUCUGAAGGGAGUGGACAUUGCAGUUCAGACCGUUUCAGUCGUUUUCCUUCUUCACAUGACAUGGAAAGACGAACGGUUAAUGUGGAGUGACCGAGAGCCCGACUACCUCAUCUUCGGCAACGACGAGAUAUGGACACCAAAUAUCUUCAUUACUGAUGUCAACGAAAAAGGACUGGCUGGUAUAUUCGACGACGGACCAAUCCCUUUAAGGGUGCUCCCUGGUGGCACAGUUGAAUGGUCACCCCAGCUGAUUACAACAACAACAUGCACAGCUCGCAUCUUAUAUUAUCCAUAUGACUCACAAACGUGUCAACUGACCAUCACAGAAGCCUCAUACAGAGUCGCUGAUGUUGUGCUCAAAUCGAACACAACAAUCAACAGCAGCUAUGUUAACAACGGACAGUGGGAAUUUUCUAGUUCGGUUAAAACAUCGUCUAACAUGACUGAUUCUCGAGGAUUGGAAUAUAGUGCAAUCAAAUAAACUUUCAAAUUUAAACGGUAUUCAAAAUGGUACAUCCCUCUGAUACUGAUACCCCUGGCCAUUCUGUCCUUGCUGAUGCCUGGUGUGUUUUUUGUACCUGCUUCAUCUGGAGAGAAGACGGGAUAUACCCUGACAGUGAUGCUGUCCUUUACAAUGCUCAGCGCCUAUGUCACAGAAACGCUGCCAUCGGUUUCACGUGAGCCUUCUCUUCUAGGAGUGUAUAUUGCUGCUGUGAUGACCUGUGGAUGUGCCAUCAUGAUACCAACAGUUAUCUCUGUAUUUCUCUCUCACAGACCAGGCGAAGAAAACUACAGAGCGUUUGCUCAGACUAUCGACUGUAGCGGCGCUUUGCUGUCCUAUCCUCCUCUGAUUGUUAUGAUGAUCUGCUUCUUUGCACUGUUGUCUACCUCCGAUGAAAACAUCAACGCAGAGUCAGCGAUUGGAAAGGUCCGGUGUCUAAAUCAGUGGAAGGGAAUUGGCUAGCUGACCAUUAUUGAACGAUAUCAGAUCAUCGAUAACCUGAAGCUCAACUUCUUGGCCAAAUGUCCGUAAGCAAGUGUGUGAAUGAGUUACCAUGAAAGCUAUAAGAUAUCACGGAGUUUGAGAUCGUUACGAUUUACUAUUUCGUUGAAACGAAACAUCCCGUGUAUGAAGGGUUCAACCCAAGGAUAAUAAACAGGGCUUGUCUGGGGUUUCGAACCAAGAUACGUGGAACCCUGCACGACUCAAGGACGUAUAUCUCGACAACGACACGCGAUGCCAUUGACCACUUACAACUAACGUGUGUGUAGGCAUACCCCGACUGGUUACUCUCAUGUUUUUGAUAUUUAAUAUUCUGUUUUUAUUUUGACAGGCGACCAUAAUCAGAAUGUACGAUGAUCAAGGCCAAGGGAUUCGAUGGGGCAGUUUGUCAUGGCAAAAUUUUGCUAAUUGAUAUUCAUAGUGGCAGAUAGUUCGCUUAGCUGGGGUAACCGUAUCUCUGUGCUGCUCCAUAGAAACGAUGUUGAGGAUGACUUGUCGAUACACAGAGCUACCAGCUGUCCCAUUGUGUUUUCCUAAUAGAUUCCUCAUUCCCCAAUACAUAGCCCACUAACAUCCCUGCUCUGAGGUACAUGCAUCGUAAUUCCACGAAACCUACAUAGCGACACGAUUCCUAAAGCACGUGCCUUCAAAUAUGUGUAAUUUUUGAUCAUGCAACAUUGUAUGCACUUAGUGGGUAAGCAUGUGAAAGACCCGUAUCAAGUCGAUGGUUUUCAUUUAUUUUUCCACAUAAUCCCCUUCCAGGGUUACACAAUUGCCAGCGAUGCUGCAAGGCCUGAAUGCCGGUCAAGAAGAAAUUUUCUUCAGCGACCCUAAAAAAGUCAUUCACAGCGGAAAUGACGUCAUCAUUACUUCGAAAAUGGCGACCGGAUAGUUCCUUUUGUCAUUUUGGGAAACAGGUGGAAGUCGGAAGGGGCUAAAUCGGGUGAAUAAGGGGGAUGGUCAAUGAGUUCGAAGCCACAAUCAUGGAUCGCUGACAUGGCAACCACCGAUUUGU
rnacentral:lncRNA from 1 species